rnacentral:rRNA from 1 species
AUUGAACGCUGGCGGCAGGCCUAACACAUGCAAGUCGAGCGAGCGGCGGACGGGUGAGUAAUGUCUGGGAAACUGCCUGAUAGAGGGGGAUAACUACUGGAAACGGUGGCUAAUACCGCAUACCAUCAGAUGUACCCAGAUGGGAUUAGCUAGUAGGUGGGGUAACGGCUCACCUAGGCGACGAUCCCUAGCUGGUCUGAGAGGAGGACCAGCAACACUGGAACUGAGACACGGUCCAGACUCUUACGGGAGGCAGCAGUGGGGAAUAUUGCACAAUGGGCGCAAGCCUGAUGCAGCCAUGCCGCGUGUGUGAAGAAGGCCUUCGGGUUGUAAAGUACUUUCAGCGGGGAGGCGUUACCCGCAGAAGAAGCACCGGCUAACUCCGUGCCAGCAGCCGCGGUAAUUC